rnacentral:rRNA from 1 species
AGCGAACGCUGGCGGCAGGCUUAACACAUGCAAGUCGAGCGGGCACUUUCGGGUGUCAGCGGCGGACGGGUGAGUAACGCGUGGGAACGUGCCCUCUGGUUCGGAAUAACUCAGGGAAACUUGAGCUAAUACCGGAUACGCCCUUUUGGGGAAAGGCUUGCUGCCGGAGGUCGGCCCGCGUCUGAUUAGCUAGUUGGUGAGGUAACGGCUCACCAAGGCGACGAUCAGUAGCUGGUCUGAGAGGAUGAUCAGCCACACUGGGACUGAGACACGGCCCAGACUCCUACGGGAGGCAGCAGAGGGGAAUAUUGGACAAUGGGCGCAAGCCUGAUCCAGCCAUGCCGCGUGAGUGAUGAAGGCCUUAGGGUUGUAAAGCUGUUUUAUCCGGGACGAUAAUGACGGUACCGGAGGAAUAAGCCCCGGCUAACUUCGUG